rnacentral:rRNA from 1 species
GAUGAACGCUGGCGGCGUGCUUAACACAUGCAAGUCGAACGAUGAAGCCCAGCUUGCUGGGUGGAUUAGUGGCGAACGGGUGAGUAACACGUGAGUAACCUGCCCUUAACUCUGGGAUAAGCCUGGGAAACUGGGUCUAAUACCGGAUAGGAGCGCCUACCGCAUGGUGGGUGUUGGAAAGAUUUAUCGGUUUUGGAUGGACUCGCGGCCUAUCAGCUUGUUGGUGUGGUAAUGGCUCACCAAGGCGACGACGGGUAGCCGGCCUGAGAGGGUGACCGGCCACACUGGGACUGAGACACGGCCCAGACUCCUACGGGAGGCAGCAGUGGGGAAUAUUGCACAAUGGGCGAAAGCCUGAUGCAGCGACGCCGCGUGAGGGAUGACGGCCUUCGGGUUGUAAACCUCUUUCAGUAGGGAAGAAGCGAAAGUGACGGUAACUGCAGAAGAAGCACCGGCUAACUACGUG